rfam:Youngiibacter fragilis 232.1 contig_36, whole genome shotgun sequence.
AAGAACUUUAAUUCAGUCCCGAGAGGCUGAGAAGAGAUUGCGAAAUGAAUAGUGCAAUGGAAAGGAUGCGACGGUUAAUACCGGAGUGUCAUAUCCAUGCAAUCAGGAAAGAUUCGUAAAUCCUUUUUUGCCGCGGUGAAAAAGGAUUUUUUGU